AACGAACGCUGGCGGCGUGCCUAACACAUGCAAGUCGAACGAGAAAGGGGCUUCGGCCCUGAGUAAAGUGGCGCACGGGUGAGUAACACGUGGGUAACCUGCCUCUGAGAUUGGGAUAACCUGUCGAAAGACGGGCUAAUACCAAAUAAGACCACGACUUCUUCCGGAGUUGAGGUCAAAGGUAGCCUCUAUUUAUAAGCUAUCGCUCGGAGAUGGGCCCGCGCACCAUUAGCUAGUUGGUGGGGUAAUGGCCUACCAAGGCAAAGAUGGUUAGCUGGUCUGAGAGGAUGAUCAGCCACACUGGAACUGAGACACGGUCCAGACUCCUACGGGAGGCUG
rnacentral:rRNA from 1 species